rnacentral:rRNA from 1 species
UGGCGACCGGCGCACGGAUGAGUAACACGUAUCCAACCUGCCGAUAACUCGGGGAUAGCCUUUCGAAAGAAAGAUUAAUACCCGAUAGCAUAAUGAUUCCGCAUGGUUUCAUUAUUAAAGGAUUCCGGUAAAGGAUGGGGAUGCGUUCCAUUAGGUUGUUGGUGAGGUAACGGCUCACCAAGCCUUCGAUGGAUAGGGGUUCUGAGAGGAAGGUCCCCCACAUUGGAACUGAGACACGGUCCAA